rnacentral:lncRNA from 1 species
UAUGUGUAGCAUCUAUUUGCAUAUUCUAUGGGUGUUAAUAAAAUAAAUUUUGUAAAAAGCUCCAAACUGUUUGUUUUUAUAGGGUCUUAUGGGAAUGAAAGUAAUAGGAACCAAAGGAAGAAAGGGAGACACUGGAUUAACUGGACCCCCUGGACCACCAGGAACUGUUAUUGUUACAUUAAGUGGACCAGAUAACAUGACGGUAUAAAACAGACUGUGUUCAGAUAAACCAUUUUACUGUUUUGUACUUUGUGCAAAGGCAUCCUUAUCUUCACUGUCCUGGUAACAUUUCUUUUCACCCAUUCUCGCUUUGUAGGUAUGGUUAGGUACUAAGCUUUACUUACAAUGUGUCUGUUCAGUUUUUCAAAUAUCCUUGAGAGUAGGCUGGUGACUACAUCAGCUGGUUCCCUCAGGAUUCUGAGAUACACCUCAUCAAGAUCCAUAGUCAUAAAGAUGUUCAGGCUCCUCAGGCGAUCGCAAACCUAAUCUGCACUUACAGAGUGAGAGGCAGUGCUCCCCAGGUUCCCACCAUCUGAACCAUCUGCUUGAGGGCUGUGUGUAGAGCACUCUCUAGUGAAGACUGACACAAAAAAGUAAUUGAAUCCCUCAGCUUUAUCAUCAUCUGCUGUUACCAGCCUGUCUGUGUUGCUCACUAGGGAGGGUAUGUCCUCUUGGACCUUUCUUUUCCAGAUGGUAUACCUGUAGAUGCCUUUCUUAAGCUUCUUUGUGUCCCUACCUAUAGGUAGGGGUGCUGUUAGUAAGUUGGUUUUUCAUUUAGUUAUUUAAGUAGAGCUAUCUAUGCUUAAGUGGUCUUGUCAGUGAUGUGAGGCUUUCCUAUUUGUUACACUAGAAUGUUUUGGUAAGCCCAGAAACACCUCAGUGAUCAUAUUAAAUUUGGAAUUAAUUUAUACUUUUUCUCUAUAAUAGGACUUGAAAGGAGAGAAAGGAGAAAAAGGAUCAAGAGGACUUCCAGGGCCAAUGGGAUUUACAGUAAGAGACUACAGUAAAUCCCAUAAAUUUAGACAUUCAGACAGCAUCACCUAGUAAAGGCG